AGGGGGGCGGGGAUCCCCGUGCUUCCCGGGGAGCGGGGAGGGGCUGAGGGGGGGCUGCAUCUGUAGGGCCUGCCCUAGAGCUGCCCCACAGCCUGCCCCAUAACCACCCCAUUCUAUACCUGCCCUAUAGCAUGCCCUAUAGCUGCCCUGGACUCCUGUCCUAUUAUUGCCCCACACCCGGCCCUAUAGCUGCCCUGGACCCCUGCCCUAUAGCUGCCCCACAGCCGGCCCUAGAGCUGCCCUGGACCCCUGCCCUAUAGCUGCCCCACACCCGGCCCUAUAGCUGCCCCACAGCCCGCCCCUGCCCCAUAACCACCCUGGAGCCCUGCCCAAUAGCUGCUUCACACCCUGCCCUAGAGCUGCCCCGGUCCCCUGUCCCAUAGCUGCCCCACAGCCUGCCCCAUAACCACCCAGCCCCCUCCCUGCCCAGCUCCCCCAUCCUGCCCCACUGCCGCUCCCAGUCCCACCCAGCCCCUCCCUGCCCGCACCCAGGAGCCCACCCGGGGACACCGAUGGGGGUGGCUGCCCCCACGUCCCCCCCCUCGCUGCGAUGCCGGGGGCUGGUUUUGGGGGUUUUGGUGUUUGGGGGCUCGGGGACAGGGUGGGGGAUGAGGACGUCACCGUCUCCUCCUGGCUCCGGCCAGGCAGGGGAGCAGGAUGGCGCUGGUCCCUGGCACUGUGCUCUGGGCGCUGGCCCCACUCCUGGCCCUGGCUGGCACUGACCCCGACCGGGGCUGGGACACCCGUGGGGCCCCCACUGGCUCUGCGGUGACAGUGGCCACGGCUUCAGCCACACCACAGGUCCCCAAAAAUGUGGCGCCGGACACGAUGGUGCUGGUCUGCGUCCUCACCGCCGCCUUCGUGGCCGUGGCCAUCAUGGUCGUGUUCUGCUUCCACUGCGGGAGGCGCUGCUGGGGGCGAGCAGCCCGGGCGGCCGGGGCUGCAGACGGAGGAGCAGCAGGAGCAGCAGCAGGAGCAGCAGCAGCAGCGCUGCCACCGGGGGACCCGAAGACCCCCAGCGCCUGAGGACGCCCCGAGCCCCCCCGCGUGCGUCCGGGGCCGUGCGGGAAUAAAGCGCCCGCCCGCGCCUG
rnacentral:lncRNA from 1 species